AGAAAAUUCGUAGCCAUAUACUAAAAGUGGAAUGAUGUAAAGAUUACCAGGCUCCUGUGCAAGAAUGACACGCAAAAUCCUGAAGCCUUCGUCAUUUUU
rnacentral:snRNA from 1 species